CUCCAUUCCUGCCACAAAAAAAGAUUGACAAGUAUGCAAAAAAGAAAAAAAGAAAAAUGAAGAAGU
rnacentral:ribozyme from 14 species